UGAAAUAAAUUGAUUUAAGAUUUAUAUGUGGAUUGUUUAAGAUAAUGGAUAUAUAUAUAAUAAAAGGUUUUUAUUUUAAAGUAAUGGGUAUAGAACUAUUUUUGUUUGUUGUACUGAAGAGGAAAAAAUAAUAACUAAGUUUGAAUAUAGUAGAAUUUAAAUUUUGUACCUUUUGCAUAAUGGUUUAAUAAUAUUGCUAGAUAUAUAUUUUCUUCUCGAAAUAUAAAGAUUUAUUUGUUUUAAAAUAAUAUUUUAUGGAAAUAGUUAACGUAGUAUAGUUAUUAUUUUAAAAGUGAAUGGUAGUGAAAUGUUAAUCGGUUUAUAUGGUAGCUAGUUUAUUUAUUUUUUACAUUUUAGUGUUAUUUAAAAAUUAAUUAUGAGUAGUAAUUUUUUUUGAAUUAAAUAUUGAGGGAUAAGCUUCAUAUGUUAUUUGUGAGAAGAUUUUUAGUAUUAAAUAGAUAAUUGAAGUUGAAUUAAUAUUUUUUCUUAGUUGGUAUAUUAAUAUUUUGUUUUUAGUAAAUACUUUCUUCAUGAUGGUUAAGUAAAUUUCUUUAAAUUAUAUAAAGUAAAAUAUAAUGUUAAAAUGAGUAUUUGAUUUUAUUGAAUAUAUAUUAUUAGUUUGUGAUUGAAUUGAUGAUUUGGAAAUUAAAGUUCUUUAUGUAAAUAUAGAUUUAAAAUUAAUUAGGAUAAAGGAAUUUGGCAAAUAUUAAUUUCGCCUGUUUAUCAAAAACAUGUCUCUUUGAGAUUUUUUAAUAAAGAGUUGGGCCUGCUCGGUGAUUAAUAUUUAACAGCUGCGGUAUUAUAACUGUACUAAGGUAGCAUAAUAAUUUGCUCUAUAAAUUGGGGCUAGAAUGAAUGGUUUGACGAAAAUUUGACUGUCUCUAUCUUAUUUAUUAGAAAUUAAUUUUUGUAGUGAGAAAGCUUAAAUUAUUUAAAGGGACGAAAAGACCCUAUUGAGCUUGUAUUAUUUAACAAAUUAUAUGAUUGUUAUUUGUUUGAAUUAAUUUUGAUUGGGGUGAUCAAGGAAUAAAUUUUAUUUAGUUUAACUUCCUUAGUUAAUUGUUUUAUAGAAGAAUAAACCAAAGUUUUUGCUUAGAAGAUAAGUUACCAUAGGGAUAACAGCGUAAUUUUUUUUGAGAGUUCAUAUUGAAAAAAGAGAUUGCGACCUCGAUGUUGGAUUAAAAUUAACCUUAAGGUGAAGAGGCUUUAUUAGGUAAAUCUGUUCGAUUUUUAAAAUUUUACAUGAUCUGAGUUCAAACCGGUGAAAACCAGGUUGGUUUUUAUCUUUUAAAUUGUUUUUUAUUUGAUUUAGUACGAAAGGAUUGAUUAUAAUUAAUUAUAUUAAUUAAUUAUAUAAAAUAUAUAAUAAAGUUGGCAGAAAUAUGUGAA
rnacentral:rRNA from 1 species